UUGAAAUUGGCUUUUAGCAGACACAUUGAAAUUGCUCAUCUGAAAGAUGGCGAUGACGAGAACCAGAUUGCUUUUAUCAUCUGUCCUUAAGUCCACCUUCUACAAGACUGGUCUGAGGAGGAUAACCAAUGACGUACGGACUUUCACGGACACAGAGACAAUGAGGAUGGCCAAUGGCGAUAAGUUUCCUUCCGGGCUCUUCAGUAAGGGCGAGAUGGACACCCGAAUCACCAACCUUCGCAGACACAUGGAAGAAGAGGGCAUCGCUGCGUGUCUGUUUACAUCGAUACACAACGUUAACUACUUCUCAGGCAU